GAUGAACGCUGGCGGCGUGCCUAAUACAUGCAAGUCGAGCGAACAGAUGAGGAGCUUGCUCCUCUGACGUUAGCGGCGGACGGGUGAGUAACACGUGGAUAACCUACCUAUAAGACUGGGAUAACUUCGGGAAACCGGAGCUAAUACCGGAUAAUAUAUUGAACCGCAUGGUUCAAUAGUGAAAGACGGUUUUGCUGUCACUUAUAGAUGGAUCCGCGCCGCAUUAGCUAGUUGGUAAGGUAACGGCUUACCAAGGCAACGAUGCGUAGCCGACCUGAGAGGGUGAUCGGCCACACUGGAACUGCGACACGGUCCAGACUCCUACGGGAGGCAGCAGUAGGGAAUCUUCCGCAAAGGACGAAAGCCUGACGGAGCAACGCCGCGUGAGUGAUGAAGGUCUUCGGAUCGUAAAACUCUGUUAUUAGGGAAGAACAAAUGUGUAAGUAACUAUGCACGUCUUGACGGUACCUAAUCAGAAAGCCACGGCUAACUACGUG
rnacentral:rRNA from 1 species